GUGAAAACAUAGCAAGUCAUAUUACAGAGGAAAUAUCGAUCACAGAUAGGAGGAUGACAAAUUGAUAAAGCUCAGGAAACUUAAAUAACCUGAGAUUUUUCCUAGGAUGAUAUAGAUUAGCAGUCAUGAGAGAAGCAUGAUAAUACAGGAACCGCUGAGAGACAGAUAAACAAAGAAAUCUUAGCACUUGAGGUUGUAAUGUAAAGAUCCAUAAUGGGAUUAGUCAGAUAAUCUGAAAAGACAAUGAGAAUAUUAUCCCAUCUACCUCUACAGGCAAUUUAAAUUGUCCUCCUUUUGUAAAAGAGCCAUGAAAGUCUAAGAUACUCACAAAAUUUCUCAUUGCCUCACUUGAGAUCUUAAAUCAUUGACUUGAUUUUGC
rnacentral:misc_RNA from 1 species